CAUGCUUCGAGUUAGUUCCCGGCGGGGAGAGGAGACACACACCGGCGAGGAAAUACGAUGAGAGCAGGAAGAGGGAGGCAUUUAUGAGGAAAGAGACGCAGGACCAUCUGCUGCUGCAGCCGGAGUUUCCCUCCAAGAAAAUCACUGAGGUCACUGCAGGGCUUGAUGUUCAGGCCUCUGAUGGCAAAGAGACGACAACAUGAGACGUAAUGGUGGAUGCGAUUUGAAAAGACGGAUAGAGAAGAAAAGAAACGAUGAGGAUGAAAAACGGUGAAGGCCUCAUGGGAGGAGAGCAGGAAGAAAUGAAAAGGAGAGCAAAAGAUAAUCUGUAAGGAGAUGAAUGUUGACAAAACAAGGGAGCAGAGGAAGGUAGAAAGCCUCCCGUUGUUUUCCUCCCGGACACGCCGGGUCAGGACAGGGCCAACUUCUCCAACAUGCAGCGAUAUCAGAGAUUUAUCUACGGAGGACCA